rnacentral:rRNA from 1 species
AGAGUUUGAUCCUGGCUCAGAUUGAACGCUGGCGGCAGGCCUAACACAUGCAAGUCGAACGGUAGCACAGAGGAGCUUGCUCCUUGGGUGACGAGUGGCGGACGGGUGAGUAAUGUCUGGGAAACUGCCCGAUGGAGGGGGAUAACUACUGGAAACGGUAGCUAAUACCGCAUAACGUCGCAAGACCAAAGAGGGGGACCUUCGGGCCUCUUGCCAUCGGAUGUGCCCAGAUGGGAUUAGCUAGUAGGUGGGGUAACGGCUCACCUAGGCGACGAUCCCUAGCUGGUCUGAGAGGAUGACCAGCCACAUUGGAACUGAGACACGGUCCAGACUCCUACGGGAGGCAGCAGUGGGGAAUAUUGCACAAUGGGCGCAAGCCUGAUGCAGCCAUGCCGCGUGUAUGAAGAAGGCCUUCGGGUUGUAAAGUACUUUCAGCGGGGAGGAAGGCGAUACGGUUAAUAAGCGUGUCGAUUGACGUUACCCGCAGAAGAAGCACCGGCUAACUCCGUGCCAGCAGCCGCGGUAAUACGGAGGGUGCAAGCGUUAAUCGGAAUUACUGGGCGUAAAGCGCACGCAGGCGGUCUGUCAAGUCGGAUGUGAAAUCCCCGGGCUCAACCUGGGAACUGCAUCCGAAACUGGCAGGCUAGAGUCUUGUAGAGGGGGGUAGAAUUCCAGGUGUAGCGGUGAAAUGCGUAGAGAUCUGGAGGAAUACCGGUGGCGAAGGCGGCCCCCUGGACAAAGACUGACGCU